rnacentral:tRNA from 1 species
GGGGCAGGACUGUGGUUCAAGGGAAGAGCCUCCGCUUGGCACGCAGAAGGCCCCCGGUUCAACUCCUGGCAUCUCCA